rnacentral:tRNA from 1 species
UGGCUUAGAUGGUAAAGCGUCUGCCUGCAAUGCAGGACACCUGGGUUUGAUCUCAG